rnacentral:rRNA from 1 species
GAACGCUGGCGGCAUGCCUUACACAUGCAAGUCGAACGGCAGCGCGGACUUCGGUCUGGCGGCGAGUGGCGAACGGGUGAGUAAUACAUCGGAACGUACCCUGUUGUGGGGGAUAACUAGUCGAAAGAUUAGCUAAUACCGCAUACGACCUGAGGGUGAAAGUGGGGGACCGCAAGGCCUCACGCAGCAGGAGCGGCCGAUGUCUGAUUAGCUAGUUGGUGGGGUAAAGGCCCACCAAGGCGACGAUCAGUAGCUAGUCUGAGAGGACGAUCAGCCACACGGGGACGGAGACACGCCCCAGACUCCGACGGGAGGGAGCGGGGGGGAAUUUUGGACAAGGGGGGCAACCCGUAUCCAGCAACGCCGCGUGUGGAAAGAAGGCUUUGGGUUUGUAAAGCAUUUUUGUGGGGAAAGAAAUCGCGCUGUUAAAUCCCUGGGGGGGAUGACGGUACGGAAAAAAAAACCCCCGGCUAACUCCGUC